UACGUAGGGGGGCAAGCGUUGUCCGGAAUCAUUGGGCGUAAAGAGCGUGUAGGCGGUCCGGUAAGUCGGCUGUGAAAGUCCAGGGCUCAACCCUGGGAUGCCGGUCGAUACUGCCGGACUAGAGUUCGGAAGAGGCGAGUGGAAUUCCCGGUGUAGCGGUGAAAUGCGCAGAUAUCGGGAGGAACACCUAUGGCGAAGGCAGCUCGCUGGGACGUUACUGACGCUGGAGACGCGAAAGCGUGGGGAGCAAACAGG
rnacentral:rRNA from 1 species